rnacentral:lncRNA from 1 species
CCUCUGGUUGUUGUCCUUGUUUGUUGGGUUGGAAUGUGUGAUUUCAUAUGCUGAAUUUUCGGUGUGGAAACCACAAAAAGAUCCUUACAUCUGUGGUGAUUUCUCAAAAUCAGUUUUUCGUAAUUCAUGUGAAGUAUUCGACCAGAGUAAGCGAUGAAGGGCAAUUUCAAGUCUCUACAAUUUAUGAUUACCGCAUUGCAUUGUGUGCUUCGUUUGUGUGUGAAUUUCUCUCUCCGGC